rnacentral:rRNA from 1 species
GCGAAGUGUGGGCCUGUGUGCGGGGUAUGAGGGGGGGUGUAAGCGUUUAUUGGAAUUGCUGGGCGUAAAGCUUGGGUAGGCGGGUCGUGAAGGCGUCUGGGAAAGCCCCGGGCUCAAGCUGGGAAUGGCAGGGGAGACUGGAGAGCUAGAGUGUGAUAGAGGAUGGUGGAAUUCCCGGUGUAGCGGUGAAAUGCGUAGAGAUCGGGAGGAACAGCAGUGGCGAAGGCGGCCAUCUGGAUCAACACUGACGCUGAGGCACGAAAGCGUGGGGAGCAAACAGGAUUAGAUACCCGAGUAGUC